rnacentral:rRNA from 1 species
UACAAGCAGUCGGAGCCCCCUUCUGGGGUGACGGCGUACCUUUUGUAUAAUGGGUCAGCGAGUUUCUGUUCGCGGCAAGCUUAAGCCGAUAGGCGAAGGCGCAGCGAAAGCGAGUCUGAACAGGGCGUUCAGUCGCGGGCAGAAGACCCCGAAACCGAGUGAUCUAGCCAUGGCCAGGUUGAAGGUGGGGUAACACCCACUGGAGGACCGAACUCACGCCUGUUGAAAAAGUCGGAGAUGAGCUGUGGCUAGGGGUGAAAGGCCAAUCAAACUCGGAAAUAGCUGGUUCUCCGCGAAAUCUAUUGAGGUAGAUCGUCGGAUGUUUACCCUCGGGGUAGAGCACUGGAUGGGCUAGGGGGACCCAAAGUCUUACCAAACCUAACCAAACUCCGAAUACCGAGAAGUAUAGUCCGGCAGACAGACGGCGGGUGCUAAGGUCCGUCGUCGAGAGGGAAACAGCCCAGACCACCAGCUAAGGUCCCCAAAUCGUGGCUAAGUGGGAAAGGAUGUGGGAAUUCCGAAAACAACCAGGAGGUUGGCUUAGAAGCAGCCAUCCUUAAAGAAA